rnacentral:rRNA from 1 species
GCCGCCCGCUUUCUUCUUGCCUAAUACAUGCAAGUCGAGCGAACAGACGAGGAGCUUGCUCCUCUGACGUUAGCGGCGGACGGGUGAGUAACACGUGGAUAACCUACCUAUAAGACUGGGAUAACUUCGGGAAACCGGAGCUAAUACCGGAUAAUAUAUUGAACCGCAUGGUUCAAUAGUGAAAGACGGUUUUGCUGUCACUUAUAGAUGGAUCCGCGCCGCAUUAGCUAGUUGGUAAGGUAACGGCUUACCAAGGCGACGAUGCGUAGCCGACCUGAGAGGGUGAUCGGCCACACUGGAACUGAGACACGGUCCAGACUCCUACGGGAGGCAGCAGUAGGGAAUCUUCCGCAAUGGGCGAAAGCUUGACGGAGCAACGCCGCGUGAGUGAUGAAGGUCUUCGGAUCGUAAAACUCUGUUAUUAGGGAAGAACAAAUGUGUAAGUAACUAUGCACGUCUUGACGGUACCUAAUCAGAAAGCCACGGCUAACUACGUG